UACGGGGGGGGCAAGCGUUGUUCGGAAUUACUGGGCGUAAAGGGCGCGUAGGCGGCUCGCUAAGUCGGAUGUGAAAACUCUGGGCUCAACCCAGAGCCUGCAUUCGAAACUGACGAGCUGGAGUUCUGGAGGGGAAAGCGGAAUUCCUGGUGUAGCGGUGAAAUGCGCAGAUAUCAGGAGGAACACCGGUGGCGAAGGCGGAUCUCUGGGCCUUACCUGACGCUCAGGCGCGAAAGCUAGGGGAGCGAACUGG
rnacentral:rRNA from 1 species